GUGGGGAAUUUUGGACAAUGGGGGCAACCCUGAUCCAGCCAUUCCGCGUGAGUGAAGAAGGCCUUCGGGUUGUAAAGCUCUUUCGGCAGGAACGAAACGGUAAUCCCUAAUACGGGUUGCUAAUGACGGUACCUGCAUAAGAAGCACCGGCUAACUACGUGCCAGCAGCCGCGGUAAUACGUAGGGUGCGAGCGUUAAUCGGAAUUACUGGGCGUAAAGCGUGCGCAGGCGGUUUCGUAAGACAGAUGUGAAAGCCCCGGGCUCAACCUGGGAAUGGCGUUUGUGACUGCGAGACUAGAGUAAGGCAGAGGGGGGUGGAAUUCCGCGUGUAGCAGUGAAAUGCGUAGAUAUGCGGAGGAACACCGAUGGCGAAGGCAGCCCCCUGGGCUAUUACUGACGCUCAUGCACGAAAGCGUGGGGAGCAAACAGGAUUAGAAACCCUGGUAGUCC
rnacentral:rRNA from 1 species